rnacentral:rRNA from 1 species
UACGGAGGGUGCAAGCAUUGAUCGGAUUGACUGGGCGUAAAGGGCGCGUAGGCGGUUUGAAAAGUCUGAUGUGAAAUUCCGGGGCUCAACCCCGGAACUGCAUUUGAAACUUUCAGACUAGAGGUUGGUAAGGGAAAACAGAAUUCCACGUGUAGCGGUGAAAUGCGUAGAUAUGUGGAAGAAUACCGGUGGUGAAGACGGUUUUCUGUGCCAAACCUGACGCUGAGGCGCGAAAGCUAGGGGAGCAAACAGG